GCUGGGUGGAUUAGUGGCGAACGGGUGAGUAACACGUGAGCAACCUGCCCCUGACUCUGGGAUAAGCGCUGGAAACGGCGUCUAAUACUGGAUACGAACAAGAAUCGCAUGGUUACUGGUUGGAAAGAUUUUUCGGUUGGGGAUGGGCUCGCGGCCUAUCAGCUUGUUGGUGAGGUAAUGGCUCACCAAGGCGUCGACGGGUAGCCGGCCUGAGAGGGUGACCGGCCACACUGGGACUGAGACACGGCCCAGACUCCUACGGGAGGCAGCAGUGGGGAAUAUUGCACAAUGGGCGCAAGCCUGAUGCAGCAACGCCGCGUGAGGGAUGACGGCCUUCGGGUUGUAAACCUCUUUUAGCAGGGAAGAAGCGAGAGUGACGGUACCUGCAGAAAAAGCACCGGCUAACUACGUGCCAGCAGCCGCGGUAAUACGUAGGGUGCAAGCGUUAUCCGGAAUUAUUGGGCGUAAAGAGCUCGUAGGCGGUUUGUCGCGUCUGCUGUGAAAUCUGGGGGCUCAACCCCCAGCCUGCAGUGGGUACGGGCAGACUAGAGUGCGGUAGGGGAGAUUGGAAUUCCUGGUGUAGCGGUGGAAUGCGCAGAUAUCAGGAGGAACACCGAUGGCGAAGGCAGAUCUCUGGGCCGUAACUGACGCUGAGGAGCGAAAGGGUGGGGAGCAAACAGGCUUAGAUACCCUGGUAGUCCACCCCGUAAACGUUGGGAACUAGUUGUGGGGUCCAUUCCACGGAUUCCGUGACGCAGCUAACGCAUUAAGUUCCCCGCCUGGGGAGUACGGCCGCAAGGCUAAAACUCAAAGGAAUUGACGGGGACCCGCACAAGCGGCGGAGCAUGCGGAUUAAUUCGAUGCAACGCGAAGAACCUUACCAAGGCUUGACAUAUACGAGAACGGGCCAGAAAUGGUCAACUCUUUGGACACUCGUAAACAGGUGGUGCAUGGUUGUCGUCAGCUCGUGUCGUGAGAUGUUGGGUUAAGUCCCGCAACGAGCGCAACCCUCGUUCUAUGUUGCCAGCACGUAAUGGUGGGAACUCAUGGGAUACUGCCGGGGUCAACUCGGAGGAAGGUGGGGAUGACGUCAAAUCAUCAUGCCCCUUAUGUCUUGGGCUUCACGCAUGCUACAAUGGCCGGUACAAUGGGCUGCAAUACCGUGAGGUGGAGCGAAUCCCAAAAAGCCGGUCCCAGUUCGGAUUGAGGUCUGCAACUCGACCUCAUGAAGUCGGAGUCGCUAGUAAUCGCAGAUCAGCAACGCUGCGGUGAAUACGUUCCCGGGUCUUGUACACACCGCCCGUCAAGUCAUGAAAGUCGGUAACACCUGAAGCCGGUGG
rnacentral:rRNA from 1 species